GACGAACGCUGGCGGCGUGCUUAACACAUGCAAGUCGAACGGAAAGGCCCUGCUUUUGUGGGGUGCUCGAGUGGCGAACGGGUGAGUAACACGUGAGUAACCUGCCCUUGACUUUGGGAUAACUUCAGGAAACUGGGGCUAAUACCGGAUAGGAGCUCCUGCUGCAUGGGGGGGGUUGGAAAGUUUCGGCGGUUGGGGAUGGACUCGCGGCUUAUCAGCUUGUUGGUGGGGUAGUGGCUUACCAAGGCUUCGACGGGUAGCCGGCCUGAGAGGGUGACCGGCGACAUUGGGACUGCGAUACGGACCAGACUCCUACGGGAGGCAGCAGGGGGGAAUAUUGCACAGUGGGCGGAAGCCUGAUGCAGCAACGCCGCGUGCGUGAUGACGGCCUUCGGGUUGUAAACCGCUUUCGCCUGUGACGAAGCGUGAGUGACGGUAAUGGGUAAAGAAGCACCGGCUAACUACGUG
rnacentral:rRNA from 1 species